UCCGCCCGUCUAGGGUUCCGGCGUCCAAGCGCGGGUUCUGGCGCGGGCUUCCCAGGGAAAGGAAGCCCAACCCAGCAAGGGAUUUUGUUUUGACCCUAACACUGAAUUCUCAACUUGUAAAAUCCCCAAAACUUUACAAUUUAGAUUGCAGAGUUUUGUUUUGUUCGGAUUCCACCCCCGUUACUAAAUGAUUUACCCUCUUUGACUGUGAAAUGUACCUGCAAAGUCAAGCAGUGUCCCGGGAUACCUAAGUUCAGUGUAUAAACAAGACUUUGCUGCAUCUGCAUGUCUCUAAGUGAAAGUGAGUAGUGACAUUUGAGCCGGAUCUUGAAGGGCAAUGUGGACAGCAAGUAUAAGAGAUGCUGGUCUGUUUUUUCUUGUACCCAUGAAAUUAACAGUCAGGAGGCAUAAUAGACUGGUCCUGUCAAUGAUCUACAUGGUGCAGCCAGAAUUUGAAUUAUUUGCUCCAUGAAAAAUAAAA